UACGUAGGGUGCGAGCGUUGUCCGGAAUUACUGGGCGUAAAGAGCUCGUAGGUGGUUUGUCGCGUUGUUCGUGAAAACUCACAGCUCAACUGUGGGCGUGCGGGCGAUACGGGCAGACUAGAGUACUGCAGGGGAGACUGGAAUUCCUGGUGUAGCGGUGGAAUGCGCAGAUAUCAGGAGGAACACCGGUGGCGAAGGCGGCUUGCUGGGCCUUACCUGACGCUGAGGAGCGAAAGCGUGGGGAGCGAACAGG
rnacentral:rRNA from 1 species